rnacentral:misc_RNA from 1 species
UAUUGAAAUAAACCUGAUGAGUUGCUGCUGGUUUUUUUAACAUGUGCACACUUGUCAUCUUUAUAUCUCCACCUGUGCAUCUUUUGUAGACCUGGACAAGUUUCUUAAUGCUACUUAGCAUUGAGGUUUUGGGAUUGACUUUUGUCUUUCCUUACAUUUCUAGGUCUAUGUUUAUUCAUAUACCCUAUUGUAUGUUAUAGAAUGUAAUAAUUAGGCCUUUGUGCCUAUAACACUAUACAACUUUCAGCAACGGAUCUCUUGGCUCUCGCAUCGAUGAAGAACGCAGCGAAUUGCGAUAAGUAAUGUGAAUUGCAGAUUUUCAGUGAAUCAUCGAAUCUUUGAACGCACCUUGCGCUCCUUGGUAUUCCAGGGAGCAUGCCUGUUUGAGUGUCAUUGAAUUAUCAACCUUGCUUUGAUUAAUAUUUUAAAGCAUGGCUUGGAGUUUGGGAGUUUGCUGGUAUUAAAUAUAUAUAUAUUUUUGUCAGCUCUCCUAAAAUACAUUAGCAAUGGAUAGUGCAACUUUGAUGUGCACGGUCUUUGACGUGAUAAUGAUCGUCGUGGCUGGAACACGUCUAGAAGGAUGUACUAUCCAUGCUUCUAACUUUCUAGAUCCUAGCCUUUUUCGGGUUUUUCCUGGGCUUAUUAGUCGGUUGUAAGACUGAUGAACACCUGGGCAAAAAUCCUUUUGAUAUUAGGUUAGAUCAAGUUGUUUUUGAAACUUG